UGGGGAAUAUUGGACAAUGGGCGCAAGCCUGAUCCAGCCAUGCCGCGUGGAUGAUGAAGGCCUUAGGGUUGUAAAAUCCUUUCGUUGGGGACGAUAAUGACGGUACCCAAAGAAGAAGCUCCGGCUAACUUCGUGCCAGCAGCCGCGGUAAUACGAAGGGGGCUAGCGUUGUUCGGAUUUACUGGGCGUAAAGCGCGUGUAGGCGGCAUGACAAGUCACUUGUGAAAUCUCUGGGCUUAACCCAGAACGGCCAAGUGAUACUGUCGCGCUAGAGUGCAGAAGGGGCAAUCGGAAUUCUUGGUGUAGCGGUGAAAUGCGUAGAUAUCGGAAGGAACAUCUGUGGCGAAGGCGGCUUCCUGGAUUCAGACUGACACUGAGGUGCGAAAGCGUGGGUAGCGAACAGGAUUAGAUACCCGGGUAGUCCCUGAGCGGGCUGGCAAGGCGCAU
rnacentral:rRNA from 1 species